AAUAUUGGACAAUGGGGGCAACCCUGAUCCAGCCAUGCCGCGUUUUUGAAGAAGGUCUUCGGAUUGUAAAGCACUUUAUGUUGGGAAGAAGGGCUUUAGGUUAAUACCCUGAAGUUUUGACGUUAUUAACAGAAUAAGCUCCGGCUAACUCUGUGUCAGCAGCCGCGGUAAUACAGAGGGUGCAAGGUUUAAUCGGAAUUACUGGGCGUAAGGCGAGCGUAGGUGGUUCAGUAAGAUGGGUGUGAAAUCCCCGGGCUUAACCUGGGAACUGCUUUCAUAACUGCUGAGCUAGAGUACGGUAGAGGGUAGUGGAAUUUCCUGUGUAGCGGUGAAAUGCGUAGAUAUAGGAAGGAACACCAGUGGCGAAGGCGACUACCUGGACUGAUACUGACACUGAGGUGCGAAAGCGUGGGGAGCAAACA
rnacentral:rRNA from 1 species